UCGAAGCAACGCGAAGAACCUUACCAGGUCUUGACAUCCUCUGCCAAUCCUAGAGAUAGGAUGUUCCCUUCGGGGACAGAGUGACAGGUGGUGCAUGGUUGUCGUCAGCUCGUGUCGUGAGAUGUUGGGUUAAGUCCCGCAACGAGCGCAACCCUUGAUCUUAGUUGCCAGCAUUUAGUUGGGCACUCUAAGGUGACUGCCGGUGACAAACCGGAGGAAGGUGGGGAUGACGUCAAAUCAUCAUGCCCCUUAUGACCUGGGCUACACACGUGCUACAAUGGAUGGAACAAAGGGCAGCGAAGCCGYGAGGUCAAGCAAAUCCCAUAAAACCAUUCUCAGUUCGGAUUGCAGGCUGCAACUCGCCUGC
rnacentral:rRNA from 1 species